UUAUUUAAUAUGGCCGAAUACAUUAUUUAAUGUGGCCCAAUACAUUAUUUAAUGUGGCUCAAUAGAUUAUUUCAGAGGCCCAACACAUUAUUUCAAGUUGCCCAACACAUUAUUUCCAGCGGCCCAACACAUUAUUUAAAGUUGCCCAACACAUUAUUUCCCGCGGCCCAACACAUUAUUUCACGUGGCCCAACACCCAAGUGCAUUAAUUGCAGGCCGCUCCAUCAGGAGUAGUGUCACCUUCCAAGGAAAGCGUGUCAGACAAAGAGAGGCGGAGCAAGUGUGGCCCUCAGGCAGGCCGCCAACGCUAUCAGGUGGCCUGGACCUGCGCAGAUGGGGUUAAAUCCACGAGGCGGAACACGGCAAAGACAGAUGGCGUAGGACAGGUUGGAGAGAAGACGGUCCAGAGGGUGUCAAGUUACCAACUGCUCCAGGUCCGUGGCACAAAAGUUCUGCCGCCUUCCGUUUGGAAGCUUGAGGCCACGUCACCGCCAGCCAAAGAAAAUCAAAGGACGAAGCGUUUAAUUAGCGCACAAGCAAGCGCCAAACUGACAGAGACUAGCAUGACCUAAUUCCAACACUAUUUUUAGUCGCCGUUGUUGGCUAAUUUGUCCCAGCUUGCUGAGAAAACUGCAACACAACACGUGCUCCCCCAAUAAUACGUGUCAACUACACUCAUUAAUACACAAAUUAUUAGAAAUGCCAUGCCACUUUUUGCACACAACCCUGGAAAUACCUUGGAAAUAAGAAUGCAAGAUAUAUAAAACAUGUUUUUUUUUUUUUAAUUGUAUUCAUUUUGGGAACUGUUGUUAAAAAUAAAAUAAGAAAUGUAACAAUAGCAACAAUGAUCUAAUAAAUAAUCUUUCUUUUA